ensembl:lncRNA
ACAUAGCUCAGCCAGUAGACUACCAAACCACAUAGCUCAGCCAGUAGACUACCAAACCACAUAGCUCAGCCAGUAGACUACCAAACCACCUAGCUCAGCCAGUAGACUACCAAACCACAUUACAAUUGCAGCAAAUGCAUUUCCAUCCAUAUCCUGAAGCUAAUUGACAAAAGUUGUGUUUCCCACAGGGAGGUCUGUACUUACUGUACUGGAGAGAGUCCACCACAGAAUGGCCUGUAUAUGUGAUGAGCUCUAUUGGGAAUGAUUGGCCUCCUGUUUCUGUGGAUGACACAAGGGCAGGUGUAACACUUGACCAACAUGACAUUGAUGUGACAUUCAGUUCUGGUUGAUGUAGGACAGAUUCAGUACUGGUUGCUAUAGGACAGGUUAGGUACUGGAAGCUGUAGGACAGGUUCAGUACUGGUUGCUAGAGGACAGGUUAGGUACUGGAAGCUGUAGGACAGGUUCAGUACUGGUUGCUAUAGGACAGGUUAGGUACUGGAAGCUGUAGGACAGGUUCAGUACUGGUUGCUAUAGGACAGGUUAGGUACUGGAAGCUGUAGGACAGGUUAGGUACUGGAAGCUGUAGGACAGGUUCAGUACUGGUUGCUAUAGGACAGGUUAGGUACUGGAAGCUGUAGGACAGGUUCAGUGCUGGUUGCUAGAGGACAGGUAAAAUACUGUUUGUGUUGCUUGUUGUUUGUCUGUUAACAUGACUCUGAGCAUACAGAAGGAUCAGUGGAAAGUGUAUACCAUGGGACAGAUACACGGUAUUGCAUUGAAAGGAUCCAGGUAUGUCCUUACAGCAUGUGUUUUGGUCGAUGGCUUUGAUUCUGUUGUAUAAUGUUCACUGAACUGUUUUCUGUUCUUAGAUGGAAAACCACUCCAUAGAACCUCAUACCCAGAAAAUCAAUAUCCUCAUACUACAUUCAUACUGUUGCUAAGUCAUAUUCCAGAAAUAUUUAAUUAAAGGAUGUUUUUUUUAUUUUUUAUUGUUUUGUAAAAUAAACUUUAUAUAAAUGUGGAAUUCUUUCCAA